AAGGAUCCCGUUGUGUUGUUUGAGCACCAAUGCUAUCUACCAAUAAAACAACAUAAGUUUAGUACAUUUUAUUAUAAGAAGAAUCAUAAAUAACAUAAGCAUAAAUAAACUAAUUACUUACAAGAUAAGUGGUAUUGUUAUAUAAUGGCUACGAUUAAACAAUAAAAACCAAUUGAUGGGGAUCGGGGUCUGGACACAGAUCACCAACCACAUACACAAACACCGAAAUCUAGGGCUAGUGUAAACUCACAUAUAUCGUAGCAAAUUCAUGCCACAAAUAGUUUAUUUUAUUAAUCAUCAACAUCUAUCUAUAACUAUUACAUUAGCCUUAUUUAUAGGCUUUACAAGACUUGGGCACCAAGGCUACUUGGUC
rnacentral:lncRNA from 1 species